AAAAUAAAAUUUGAUUUUAAAAAAAUUUAAUUUUUAAACUAGGAUUAGAUACCCUAUUAUUUUAAGCUUAAUGUUGGUAGUAAGUAAAAAUUAUGAAAUCAUAAAAUUUUGGCGGUAUUUUAAGCUUGUUAGAGGAAUUUGCUCUAUAAUGGAUACAACGCCUAUAUCUUACUUAAUUCUGUAAUUAAAGUCAGUUUGUAUACCACUAUAUUUAAUUAUAUUGAAUAAUUAUAUUUAAGAUUUUUAUACAAAUAUAUAUUAAGUCAAGGUGCAACAAAUAAUUA
rnacentral:rRNA from 1 species